CCCGGGCCUUGUACACACCGCCCGUCACAUCCUGAAAGCCGGUUACACCUAAAGUCGCUGUAGGAACCCGUAAGGGGCCAAGGUGCCAAAGGUGUGGUUGGUGAUUGGGAUG
rnacentral:rRNA from 1 species